GACGGAGGGUGCAAGCGUUGUUCGGAAUUACUGGGCGUAAAGGGCGCGUAGGCGGCCUUCUAAGUCAGACGUGAAAUCCCCCGGCUUAACCUGGGAACUGCGUCUGAUACUGGGAGGCUUGAGUAUGGGAGAGGGAUGUAGAAUUCCAGGUGUAGCGGUGAAAUGCGUAGAUAUCUGGAGGAAUACCGGUGGCGAAGGCGGCAUCCUGGACCAUUACUGACGCUGAGGCGCGAAAGCUAGGGGAGCAAACGGG
rnacentral:rRNA from 1 species